rnacentral:tRNA from 1 species
CUCGGUAGCUCGCUGGGCUCAUAACCCAGAGGUCGCAGGUUCAAAUCCUGUCCCCGCUA